rnacentral:rRNA from 1 species
UACGAAGGGGGCUAGCGUUGUUCGGAAUCACUGGGCGUAAAGCGCUCGUAGGCGGAUCUUUAAGUCAGGGGUGAAAUCCCGAGGCUCAACCUCGGAACUGCCUUUGAUACUGGGGAUCUCGAGUCCGGGAGAGGUGAGUGGAACUGCGAGUGUAGAGGUGAAAUUCGUAGAUAUUCGCAAGAACACCAGUGGCGAAGGCGGCUCACUGGCCCGGUACUGACGCUGAGGCACGAAAGCGUGGGGAGCAAACAGG